rnacentral:rRNA from 1 species
AACGAACGCUGGCGGCGUGCUUAACACAUGCAAGUCGUACGUGAAAGCCCUUCGGGGUGAGUAGAGUGGCGCACGGGUGAGUAAUGCAUAGGAACGUACCUCUGGGCGGGGGACAACUCCGGGAAACCGGUGCUAAUACCGCAUAAUCUGGAAACAGUAAAGCUGGCCUCUAUUUAUAAGCUAGCACCUAGAGAUCGGCCUAUGUCCCAUUAGCUUGUUGGUGAGGUAAAGGCUCACCAAGGCUACGAUGGGUAGCUGGUCUGAGAGGAUGAUCAGCCACACUGGAACUGAGACACGGUCCAG